rnacentral:rRNA from 1 species
CCUACGUGCGGCAGCAGUGGGGAAUAUUGGACAAUGGGCGAAAGCCUGAUCCAGCCAUGCCGCGUGUGUGAAGAAGGCCUUCGGGUUGUAAAGCACUUUCAGUGGGGAAGAAAGCCUUGGGGCUAAUACCCUCGAGGAAGGACAUCACCCACAGAAGAAGCACCGGCUAACUCCGUGCCAGCAGCCGCGGUAAUACGGAGGGUGCGAGCGUUAAUCGGAAUUACUGGGCGUAAAGCGCGCGUAGGCGGUCUGAUAAGCCGGUUGUGAAAGCCCCGGGCUCAACCUGGGAACGGCAUCCGGAACUGUCAGGCUAGAGUGCAGGAGAGGAAGGUAGAAUUCCCGGUGUAGCGGUGAAAUGCGUAGAGAUCGGGAGGAAUACCAGUGGCGAAGGCGGCCUUCUGGACUGACACUGACGCUGAGGUGCUAAAGCGUGGGUAGCAAACAGGAUUAGAUACCCGUGUAGUC